rnacentral:rRNA from 1 species
ACGGGUGAGUAAUACGUGAGUGACCUACCUUUGACUCUGGGAUAAGCCUGGGAAACUGGGUCUAAUACCGGAUACGACCAAUCUCCGCAUGGGGUGUUGGUGGAAAGCGUUAUGGAGUGGUUUUAGAUGGGCUCACGGCCUAUCAGCUUGUUGGUGAGGUAAUGGCUUACCAAGGCGACGACGGGUAGCCGGCCUGAGAGGGUGAUCGGCCACACUGGGACUGAGACACGGCCCAGACUCCUACGGGAGGCAGCAGUGGGGAAUAUUGCACAAUGGGCGCAAGCCUGAUGCAGCGACGCCGCGUGAGGGAUGACGGCCUUCGGGUUGUAAACCUCUGUUAGCAUCGAAGAAGCGAAAGUGACGGUAGGUGCAGAGAAAGCGCCGGCUAACUACGUGCCAGCAGCCGCGGUAAUACGUAGGGCGCGAGCGUUGUCCGGAAUUAUUGGGCGUAAAGAGCUUGUAGGCGGUUGGUCGCGUCUGCUGUGAAAGGCUGGGGCUUAACCCUGGUUUUGCAGUGGGUACGGGCUAACUAGAGUGCAGUAGGGGAGACUGGAAUUCCUGGUGUAGCGGUGGAAUGCGCAGAUAUCAGGAGGAACACCGAUGGCGAAGGCA